CUGUUUUUCUUUUAAAAUCCCAGGUUGCCUACUCAAAAGACUAAAGGCCAGAAAGCUUAUGAAAUGUUAAAUUUUAAAAUAAUUGUUAUUAUAGUGUUUCCAUUUGUGAACAACAUAUAUGUGUGUAUGAAUAAAAUUUAUAAAUGGACAUAACCUUAUACACAAGAUUUAAAAUAACCCCUGGGCACAUGUGGGCCCAACCCAGAGAUAGCCCUUCCUGAAAUGACUGGAGCCAAGAGCCUGUCACGCUCGCGGUAUUCAGUGCAAGGUCUGAUCGCGUCUUCUGUCACUCAAGGCCUGAGGGCGCGGAGCCUGGAGCUCUAUCCAUUAAGGGCGCUGGGGUGGGAACUGUCCAAUCAGGUUCACAGUCAGAGAGGAAGGGGUGGCUCCCGGUACCUGGCGGGGCCUUUGUCUCUUGCUCCAGCCAGAGCUCGAGGUUAGCUCUUCACUGCCCUGUGUCUUCUUUCCAAGGGUCUCGGUGAUUCGGCCACAGCCUCAGCCUCCAUCACGCGGUGAACUGAUGGUGCUGGAAGAUUCAUAGACUCCAGGACAUUCCUGAAGCCGAGAAAAGGUUAAGUAGGGUCUGGCCUGGAAUACUCUCCUAGAUGAAGAUAGCCCAACCAUGAGCCACCUUCGAAGCAGAUGAGAUGAAAUUAAAGCUCUUCAACUCCUAAAGGCCCAGAGACUAUCACAAAAGAGGUCAGAAAUCCUGAAGGUCACUUUCUGACAAACUCAGGAACCCCAGGUUUAUCUUGGAGCCUCAAGAGGAGAUAAAUUCACCCAACUCAGGCUGGAGUGCAGUGGCGUGAUCUCAGCUCGCUACAAC
rnacentral:lncRNA from 1 species